rnacentral:siRNA from 1 species
UCAAAGCGGAUAAUUUGGCGC